rnacentral:rRNA from 1 species
AGGGGGAUAACCCGUCGAAAGACGGACUAAUACCGCGUACACUCCACUUUGGGCAUCCAAAGUAGAGGAAAUGAAAUUCGCUGUGAGAUAGGCAUGCGUCCCAUUAGCUAGUUGGUGAGGUAACGGCUCACCAAGGCGACGAUGGGUAGGGGAACUGAGAGGUUGAACCCCCACACUGGUACUGAGACACGGACCAGACUCCUACGGGAGGCAGCAGUGAGGAAUAUUGGUCAAUGGGCGAGAGCCUGAACCAGCCAAGWCGCGUGAAGGAUGACUGUCUUAUGGAUUGUAAACUUCUUUUAUACGGGAAUAACAAGAGUYACGUGUGRCUCCCUGCAUGUACCGUAUGAAUAAGCAUCGGCUAACUCCGUGCCAGCAGCCGCGGUAAUACGGAGGAUGCGAGCGUUAUCCGGAUUUAUUGGGUUUAAAGGGUGCGUAGGCGGCCUGUUAAGUCAGCGGUGAAAUCUAGGAGCUUAACUCCUAAAUUGCCAUUGAUACUGGCGGGCUUGAGUGUAGAUGAGGUAGGCGGAAUGCGUGGUGUAGCGGUGGAAUGCAUAGAUAUCACGCAGAACUCCGAUUGCGAAGGCAGCUUACUAAGGUACAACUGACGCUGA